rnacentral:rRNA from 1 species
AGCGAACGCUGGCGGCGUGCUUAACACAUGCAAGCCGAGCGAAGGUGUUUCAAGGGUAACCUUGAGAUACACUUAGCGGCGGACGGGUGAGUAAUACGUGGAUAACUUACCUCUAGGCCUGGGAUAACCCCGGGAACUGGGGCUAAUACCUGAUAAGACCACAUUGUCUACGGACAAAGGGGUAAAAGGUGGCUGUGCAAACAGCUAUCGCCAAAAGAUAGGUUCACGUCCCAUCAGGCAGUUGGUGAGGUAAUGGCUCACCAAACCAAAGACGGGUAGCCGGCCUUGGCGGGUGAACGGCCACACGGGGACUGAGACACGGCCCCGACUCCUACGGGAGGCAGCAGUGGGGAAUAUUGGGCAAUGGGCGCAAGCCUGACCCAGCGACGUCGCGUUGGAGAAGAAGGCCUUC